GUAUGCCAACACCUCAACAUGCACAAACUCAGAACUUUUGAGGAAGAAUAAAAUGGAAUAGCAGUAACAAUUAUAAAACGGAGAAGACGCCAUGGCAGAAACAAUCAUCCCAGCAACAAGGUUACGCAAGCCAGGGUACUCAUAAACAGGUAGGGGAUAACCAGCAGAGGAUCCUGCCCCGCCCAAAAUAAAAACCAUGGGAGACUCUGCAAAACUAGUAAUGAUGGUUGUUGUUGCACAGGAGCUGGAAGGGGCAUUAUGCAAACUGUUGCCCGAAGAAGCAACAAAGGACGGGUCUCACGCUAAACUCGCCUAUUUAGGCUUCGCAUUUGCAAGCAAUCCAAGCUUUGCCCCAACUACACCAAGAGUAGUAGCCACACCACCAACAACAAUAGCACAUAUGUGCUUGAAUUUAGAGCUGAACAUAAAAUCACUCAAAGUCGUAGUGAACAACUCUUAUGUUAUACCAAUGAGAGACGUUGACUUAGGAAGGGAUUGACUAGCUGUGAACCAAACCAACAUCCUUUGCAAAACAAGACAAAUUUCUUUUCGACCCUUGUAAAAAAAAAAAAAAAAAAAAAAAAAAACUGACACGUUUCCAUGGAAUCAACAUGGACAAGAGGGAGACAAUCAUCUCCACCCUUAAAGCAAUGAGGAUGAUGAGGAAAGAAUAUCCAGACUACCUUGUGUAUUUGCACGGAGAACUAGGAAUCGAGAAAAGCAUAAGAGAUAUGACAAUCA
rnacentral:lncRNA from 1 species